rnacentral:rRNA from 1 species
UACGUAGGGUGCAAGCGUUAAUCGGAAUACUGGGCGUAAAGCGUGCGCAGGCGGUUUUGUAAGUUUGUCGUGAAAUCCCCGGGCUCAACCUGGGAAUGGCGAUGAAGACUGCAAGGCUAGAAUCUGGCAGAGGGGGGUAGAAUUCCACGUGUAGCAGUGAAAUGCGUAGAGAUGUGGAGGAACACCGAUGGCGAAGGCAGCCCCCUGGGUCAAGAUUGACGCUCAUGCACGAA